rnacentral:rRNA from 1 species
GAUGAACGCUGGCGGCGUGCUUAACACAUGCAAGUCGAACGAACUCAUAUUGAAACCUAGUGAAGUAUGAGUUAGUGGCGGACGGGUGAGUAACGCGUGGAGAACCUGCCGUAUACUGGGGGAUAACACUUAGAAAUAGGUGCUAAUACCGCAUAAGCGCACAGUUUCGCAUGAAGCAGUGUGAAAAACUCCGGUGGUAUACGAUGGAUCCGCGUCUGAUUAGCUGGUUGGCGGGGUAAUGGCCCACCAAGGCGACGAUCAGUAGCCGGCCUGAGAGGGUGACCGGCCACAUUGGGACUGAGACACGGCCCAAACUCCUACGGGAGGCAGCAGUGGGGAAUAUUGCACAAUGGGGGAAACCCUGAUGCAGCGACGCCGCGUGAGUGAAGAAGUAUUUCGGUAUGUAAAGCUCUAUCAGCAGGGAAGAAAAUGACGGUACCUGACUAAGAAGCCCCGGCUAACUACGUGC